rnacentral:piRNA from 1 species
UGAGGUGUCAUUGAUGAAGUCCAUCCAGC